rnacentral:lncRNA from 1 species
UCUAUCUUGCUCGGUCUCAAUCUUGGCUGAUCUCGGCCUUGAUUUGGUCCCUGAGUCACGAUCUUGGCAAUCUAACUUUGUGUCAUGAUCCGGUAUGACGUGGGGUUGAUUCUCGGCCUGUCACCCCCUGUCUCGAUUAAUCAAAAAAAUGUCAAGUCCGUUUUUGACCGUAUACAUGGAGCAUAUUGAAUUGUAGACAAUAGUGGAAACUGAAAAAAGUAUUACUCCCUCCGUUCUAAUUUAUGUUAACCUAUUUGACUGGGCACUUAGUUUAAAAAUAAUAAUUUUUUUUGGAAUUUAUGGUCCUAAACAAGUCAAAAAGGGGUCCAUAGUAUUUGUGUGAUUAUAAAAACUUUCUCAUUAAGGGUAGAAUUGAAAGUUUAGGUUAAAUUGAUUUAAAUUUAGAAAGGGGUCAUUCGUUUUGGAAAGGACCAAAAAGAAAAUAGGUUCACAUACACUGGAAUAGAGGGAGCACUAUCUUGUGACACCCAAACUGGUGGUAUGUUUAGCAUAAGGAGGAACAUGUUGGCUCAAUGAUAACAUCAGAUCAAGGAGCUCUUCUUUUGAUAGCUGGACAGGGUGCUAGUGGACAGACAAAGGAGAAAUACGUUACCUGUUAGGCAAGGUAACAAAGCAUUACAUUCAAUAUAGAAACUUUUAUUGUUAAUGAAAUAACCCAUUACUUAGGGUUAUGCUCAACUCAAGCUAUCGAAUCGAAGGAGCAUCACUUUUGAUGGACGAAUUUACUCAUGAUAGUAAUAUUAGGCAUGAAGGAAUAACUGUUGUAUUAUUUAUACCUAGUAAUGCAAAGUCAAAGAUUUCUUUGUGGUCCCUUUUCUUUCUCUACUUCUUUGUCUUUUAUGAAAGACAAUGUGUCCCUCAACGGUUAUGGAAAGUUUCUUUCUUCUCUUUACAUUGAAUUACUCUUUGUUGGGCUUGUAAAGAGCUAGUAAAAGGGAGUGGCCUCGUGCAUAUAUGAAAUUGUUCCUGAAGGUCAAACGGGUCGAUUUGCCCCCAACUGCGCACGAGAUAUACGUGAGCCUAAUCCAAAUAAUUUUUAGCAUUGGUUUGAUAAGUAUUCAGUAAGUUGUAUAAGUUAAUUUUUAUUUCCUUCUUGUUCUUGGUCAAUAUUAUGGUGGAUCAAUGACACUAUUUAAAGGUGCUAAUCCAGUGUAUAAUUUUUAGUCAUUUAUUUUCUCAUUGAUAGCUGUGUAUGUCCCUGGAUUACUCUCCUUCAUAAUGUAAAAACAUAUUGGAAGCCUCUUGUAAUUCUUUUCCGGUGCUCCUCUUAUCUUAUUUAUACCUUAUUGAAUAGAUUUUCAUGCCUUGUAAAAAGGUGAUGUGUUGUAGAAAUGCGGCACUUUUAAUACAAAUUUUAUAGACUUUAUAUUAACUUUUAAAGUAUCUUAGAUUAUUUUUACGUUGUUUGUAGGAAAUUAGACUUGAAGAGCCAAGAACAUGAAGAAAAAAAAAGAAUCAAAAACCUUGAAGAAGUAAAAUUUGCAAUUAGUUAUGCGACCGCAAAAUAGAUAGGCGGGCCGCACUUCUAUCGCAAAGCGUCUAGACAUUCUUAGUUUUUAGAAUAAAUAUACGGUCUAUUAUGCGGAGAGCAUAACCAAUGUGCAGAUCGAAAAAUUAUCGCACAAAUGCUAGAGGAAUUUUCAGCUAUCAGAAGCGACAAGUCUGCAACCCAUUAUGUGGACCAUGAAAUAAUUAUGCGGACCGCAUAACAGAUCUGCGAUAGCAUUCUGAAAAAGUUGAAGAUCAAUUUUACAGUGAACCGCAGAUCACGUACGCGGUCCGUUUCUUGAUCGCGGAUCUUAUCUGAGGGAUAUUUUUGUCACAGAUUUGUCCGCAAUUUUUGGCAAUUAUAAAUAGAAUUGUUUACCGUGAAAAUGGUAAUUAUAAUUAAAUUUGAUUUUGCGGUUCCAUAAAUACGUGAUCUAUUUUUAUGCUUUUUGUUUGGGCAAUAGAUGCUAAGUGAGGUACUUGGAAUCAAGAUAAGAGCUUAAAAACAAGAUGUUAACCAAACCAAAUUGCUGUCAAUCGGGGCCUCGAGUUUACUUAUUCGGGGCCUCGGGGUCAAGUUCAAUGUCCGCCGAGGGUGAUCGAGGGACGACUAACAAUUAUAAUCAAAUCAAUGAUGUCUCUUUAUGGCCAAUAAUAAGAAAUAAAUGACGGACAAUAAAUAGAAAACAAUGGAUAUGAACAUAAAUGCAAGUAAUGAGAUCAAGAGAAUAUGUUAGAGAGCAGAGAGAAUGUUCUUGUGUAUUUAGUAUUGAGCAAUAGGUAUUUACAAAAGGACAAGGAUCCCCUUUAUAUAUGAGGGGGAAUCCCAACAUAGUACAGAUGUAUUAAUUACAAAGAUAAGAAAGUGGUACAACUAGUUAAUGCCUUGAUUCUUUUUUUGGACUAGUCUACUAGGCUUUAUUAGCUGUAUGUACGCGCCUUGGGAACUUCACCUUGAUCCAUCGAGACCACUAAUUUACAUUGCCUUGCGGCCGGUCAUUAUUCACACUACCUCGAAGUCGAUCACCGAGAAUCCUUAGAGUCUAUCACUGAAAAUACUUCCUUGAUGAUCGUAAAAUCGAACCGUCGCUUUCUACCGUAUACAGAUAGUACCCGCGUUUCGUAGAACAAUGUGAUAGGAAACGAUUUUGAACUCAUACUCCUUAAGCAUCAUUAUCAUGACGUCAUCCCAUUAGAGCAUUAAAUUCCAUAACUCAAAAGUCGCACAAUGGUCGCCGUCAAACAUGACUAUCGAGAAGCCCACAAACAGCUAUUGGUUCGUCCUUUCCGCUGCCCAUAUGGCUUCUAUAACUGCAUCAGUCAUUUGAUAAUUCACACUUUUACAACAUAUUCAAGUUUUCAAAGCCAAAUCCCUCCCCUUUCACAUUCUUUCUUCUUUCGUUCUUGAUUCUCUGCCUACUUUCUCAAAAAAGCCUUUCCACCAACAUGGCUAGAACUUCCAAGACAGUUCCUCAGAAAAACAAGGCUAGCUCUUCAUCUCAAAUAUCCAAAGGAAAGCCUAAAGUGAUACCCACCGUUGAACAGUGUACCCCUACUGAAUUCAACACGGCGAAGGAUUUUUCCGUCGACAGAUCCUCGUCUACACUGGGCUGAUCUGAACACAUGUCUCCGUAUAUUAGUGUUGUGACCGAUACAGGAAAAGUGAAAGAAGACUUUCAAUGGAGGGAGGCAGUGCUGGUUGAGAUCCCCCAUUCUAACGAGAGCAUAACAUACCACAAGGCUGGCUUCCUUUAUGUAUAUACAUACGCAUUCACUUUAGGUCCGGUCGAUUGAUCGAACCCUUCUUCCCCGGUGAUAUAUCCGGUUAUUCUCGACUUCUGCAACAAGUACCGAGUGAUUCUUGGCCAGAUCUAUCCAAGAAUCAUAGUAAAAUCCUUCUUUCCACCUAUAUCAUAUUUUUAGGCUUCUCCCCCUUAUCCUCCAUCCUAAAAAAUUUUGGCCACUAUGUUUACGCAAGCUUUUGCGACGGAGUACAAAUGAGACCGCCUCCCGACGGUGAGGUGGAGACUUCGGAGCUUGAUAAGGGCAAGAAGUGGAAGAAAAAGGCGGCUGCUGAUUCUCCUGUGGCUAAGAAAGCUAAAUCAUGCAGGCCUAGAGGUUCCGCUAGGACCUCGACUUCAGCUUCUGGAGCAAGUCCCAGUACUAGCGAUGAAGACGAUGAUAGGAUAAGUACUGUUUGGUACAAAGGAUGAGGUCGGGUGCGGAUGUCCCACAUGUAGAGACCACUAAAUUGGGAACGGUCGAUUCAGAUCGAUCCCGUGCGGUGGAGACCCUCGAGGAUGGUGCGAACAUGGUCCUUGAGCCCCUAAUCAGAUGUGGUGCAGUUCCUAUUGGGGAGACCGUUGCUGCUAGUUCAAAAGGGUCCGGGCCCAGAGCUUUUCAGGGCCAGGAUUUUCCCUUUGGUGACAUCGAUGCCCUGGGUGGCCUUAAUUUGUGUCCUCAGUUCUCGUCUGGGGAGUUAAGGGACGCUCAGGACCCAAAUGUUGCCAACGUGGGGGGUCCUCUCAAGGGGGAGAUAAGCUUGGUAACUUCCUUGAUGACGUAGACGAUGUCAGCGAGGACAUCGAUAUCGAUGCUCCCAACUCUAUCGAGGCACCGGAGAAGUUCCAGUGGUAGGUGAUAGCUGAUCAUGUAUACUUUUCUACUCUCAAACAUAUUUCCUCAUUUUUCUGAAUCUCCUGCUUCUUUGUAGUGUAAGGACAUGUAUGAUCAUGCCUUCUUUAGGCUCCAAGAUAAGCUUUCAUGUUGUGGAAAUGAGCUCGAGAAGCUCACAUCUGGACUACAGGAGUCGGAGGCCUCCUUUGCCCAAAAGGAGAAGGAUUUAAGCAAGCUUCGGGCAAAUUUGGAGGGAGUGCUCCGAGAAAGGGCUGACCUUGCUGAGUAGGUAACUUGUUAGUCGUAAAUCCGUUCGUCGUUCUCAUAAUUCGAUGUUUACUGACUCAUCUUUUCCUUUGCAGAUCGGGCAGAAGAAUGUGGAAAUCCUCGAGCUGAGGAGGCAAAAUGAGGUAAUGACCUCGGAAUUUGCAUCGACCUAGGGUUUUCUCCAAAAUGCUCGAGAAGAAAUUACUACUCUAUCUGCGACCAUGUCCAAAGUCGAAGAAAAAGUUGCUACUUAGCUGAAAGACGCCGCUACUGUGAAUAAAAUAGCCCGAGAUAUAUCGGUGGAGGCCGAGCAAAAGCUGAUUCGGACUUUCACUCACGCUAGUGCGAAGGCGAGGAUGCAAGCCUUAGAGGAAGCCAGUGCUAAAGGUGCCAAUCUCUCAGCUGAGAUCGAGGAGGCCCGAGAGUCAGAGGAAGAAUUGGCGCUCUUAGUCGCUUGGGACAAAGGUCCCCGAGAUGGUUCAGAGGGUAGUGGCGAUGAAGAGUAGGCCUACAUCAUCCCUGGAGAUUCUACUAUUCUGGGCAAUCAUCCCUCUCAUAGAGCUUUUGUUCUUUGUGCUAGCUCUUUUGUCAUUUCAACUCACAGCCUUUGCCCAAAUCUUCAUCCUCUUCUUCCUAUUUUACCGUAGCCAUAGCUGCUACAUCAAAACCCGUUCAUCAAGGGGAGGAGAGUUUUGCCUCUAUUCCGUGUGCGAUCGAUGGCACACUACCGGUAUCCGGUGAGCUGACCUCGAGGUGCUUUGUCUCGAGGAGAGACUUCACGUUGGAGAGACCUACCAACAUUUAAGGGCAUCGGGAGCAUGCGUCGAGGUUCAUCUCCUCAAUAGGGGAGGGACACCUCGAGAUGAUUAGGAAAGACUACGGAUGGGGAGAAGGAGUGGUACUGCAAGUACCUUCCCUGGAGGAGAGCAUCAUGACCCAUGUCGAGGGGUUUUCGAGCGUGUAUACAUAUCCCAUUAUAUUGGGUCCCUCGACAGGGUCGUGCUUGAAUUUUGUAGGAGGUAUCAGGUUACCCUAGCGCAGGCUCACCCAUCCCUUUCGAAGAUAGUGCUGAUGAUAAGGUACUUUGCGGAUAAGGUCGUGCUCUAAUUCACCCUUAGCCAUCUCGUUAGGUUAUAUCAGCCUCUACAUUACCGGGGCUUGAUUAUUCUAUGACAUCGAUCCACCUGGUCCCCUGCCGUUAACGAAGAAGAGGACGAGGAUCGAGGGUGGAUGAGUGGUUUGUUCGAGCACGGACAAUCGAUAUUAUCCCUAGAGAGUUUUUGCCAUUUCCUGAGAAAUGGAAUUUCACACAUAAGUGGUAUACUUUUAUUUUUAUCGCUUUGUCCAUAGUGGAGGCAGGCUCCGUAAAGGCAUCUUUUCAUUUAAUUUUUUUAGCGAUUCCUUGGUUACCGAACGAGGUCCCUGAUCUAGCUGAAUGGUCUCGUAAGCUGGCAGCUUGCUCGACCUAUGAUAAGCACAAGUGACGAGACAUGUCCAAGGGGAGAUGGGAGGCAAAGCAUCAUGUUAGUUGUUUAGUGGAUUGUAUCCUCAGAAAGGUACUUUCUUUCUAGCGCACUAACUCUGCCACCGCAGGUGUUGGAGGUUUUUCCGAGAUGAGGUUGUGCCCCCUGGGGAGGAGGAGAGAUUGACAACCCCGGGGUCGAGGAUCUAUAAUAAACGGAAAGAGUCUUUGAGGAGUGAGGAUGCUCAUAACGGGGCAAGUACUCUUAUGAGGUUCAAAAGAUAUGAGUCGGCCGAGCUUCCAGCUUCGGAGGCUUCGAGGGACAAGGGUCAUGCGACACCUUCCUCUUCUCCUACCUAAGGCACUUCGGGGGAAACUAAGCCAUCAAACAUAGGCUCGACUCUAGUGAGGCUCACCGGCUUAGAUUUAUGGUAAGCUUUGGUAGCCGGUAUAGGCUUUUUUUGGUUUCACGCCCUCCCCUUCUUAUAGAGUUUUCUUUUACAGGCCUUUGAAAAGCUUAAGUCUGAGCUGCUUCGCUGUGAGGCCAUGCUGCGGAAAGCUUUGGAUGGGGAGAAAUCCCUUAGGCUCCUUUGUACGAAAAAGGAAGAUGAGCUGGUACUCCUGCGGUGCGAGGUGGAUCGAAGUCAGAACCACGAAAACCAUCUCGAAAAUUAGGUAACCUGCAUUUCGUGUCGGUGUAUGCUCCCCCUUCCACUUUUUGAGAUUAAUAUUUUGAUAUUUCAGUUGGAGAGCAAAAUAGAGCAGCUGGAACGACUUUGGGGCGAAGUUGGUUGGGUCAAACGCGAGUUUAACGAGUUGAAGGCUCUGGCAGAUGUCCAAGUUACGACCAAGGAGGAUGCUUUGUCUAAGGCUUCCGCCCUCGAGUUGCAACUCCGGAACGCUCGUGCAAACGAUUCUGUCCGAGCGAAUAUGAUUACAAGGCUCGAGUCUAAGCUUUUGAAGGUGAAGGCUGAGGUUGUGGAUGCUCGGGCCAAGGCUAUGAUGAGCCACACUAAGGCUGACCAAAAAGUGGCGGUCUAUUUGAGGUGUAAAUCUCGGAGGGAAACCCUCGAGGAAACUCAUGCCAGAGGCUUUGACCUAUCGGAAAAGAUAAAGUAGGCGAAGGUGGAAGAAUAUGAUGCUAAAUUCCUUCUGUCUGAUGCUGAGGAUAGCGAGGAUGAGGCCGACGGGUAUAGUCCCUAAGGAGGAUGUAGAUUUCAUUUCCAGUAUCUGUACAAAGUACUUUCAAAGUACGUUAUAAAUGGAGCUUGUAUUUUCUAUCAUAUAUGUAUAAAGGAAAACCUCACGGUUUCAUUUAUCCUGCAUUUCUUUUUGCCUUGAUUUCAGCCAGAUGAGCUGGUCAUUGAGUUAAAAGGAAUCCUUACAUUUGUGGUAUGGCCCUGGGCUCAUUAGGCUGGCCCGUAGGCUCUUACGUGCUUGGUCGAUACGACCUCUUAGUAUAAGCCGGCGUUCGAGCUCUUAUGCUUGUGCUCUUAGGCAUAUUUGGUCUACUAUUUUGGGUUCAGUCUCUGAGUCGGGUAUCGACUCGAGCUCAUUCGACCCUCAAGUUUUUGAAUUUCAAGCUGGCCCUUAGGUUCUUACGCGUUGGGUCAGUACGACCUUUUGUGUGGGCUGGCGACAGUGGCUCUUAUUCUUUGGGUCGAUGCGACCUUUUAUAUGGGCUGGCGAUAGUGGCUCUUAUGCUUUGGGUCGAUGCGACUUUUAAUAUAAGCUUUAUUUUUCCCUCGAUAAGGAUUUUUUGAAAUAAUGUUUGCUUGACUCUUCGACGGUUUGAUAGAAACCUCGAUUGUGAGUCAUUAUAUGGUGAUAAACAAGCCCCUUGUGAGGUUUGGCUCGGUGGCUGAGUAUCUUGAAGCCUGUAUUUAGGAGCUGACAUGGUCGAAGCUCUUUUGCCUAUGUCGAGGGUAGCCUGUUUAAUCAGUUCUUUUCGAAGGUAGCCUAUGUCGAGUAAUUGAAGGCCUGUGAUUUUAUAGCGACAGUCGGGCGUCCCCGAGUCAUGUUAGUUUGGAUGGUACAACCUUGUGACUGUAGUCAUUUGUGUUCUGCUAGAGCCUUUCAGUCCCGAGUGAAGUAGUUUCAACGUCUAUAUCGAGGGUAUACCUAUUUAGGGGUCUUACAAGUUCGAUAUAUAGCUUUACUUUGAGAUUGGGUUUAUGCCUUUAGUAAGAACUUACAAGUUUUACAUGCCUUUGAGGUCUUACAGUUUUGGAUACUUGGUACAAGUAUUGUUCAUUCCUUGCUUGAGGUCUUACAAAUAUUGUCACUUGGUACAAGUGUGGUUCAUGCCUUGCUUGAGGUAUUACAAAUAUUGUCACUUGGUACAAGUGUGGUUCAUGCCUUGCUUGAGGUCUUACAGAUAUUGUUGUUGCCUUGUAUAGGUGUUACGAGACCGAGGUUGCCCGCAUGUGGUCUUAUGACCUCGGGUUUUGAUAAGUCGAUGGAGAUAGUGAUUGACGGCAGUCCCCGAGUCAUCGAGGAUUUCUCGGCUCGAGAGACAUUACUUGUAAACUUGGUAUUGCCUCAUUAAGGGCUUACGAUUUCGGAGUUUCCGACCCGGAGGUCAUGUGGCCUUGAGUUUUCGAUGCCAGUCCCCGAGUGUUUGGACAUUUUUGGCUCUAGAGCUAUUUUGUGAUCUUGUUGUUGCCUCAUUAAGGGCUUACAAAUUUGAAGUUCCGACUCAGGGAUCAUAUUGUUUUGUGUGGUUUAUGCUAGUACCCGAGUGUUUGGUACGUUUUUGACAGAGGAAUCUUUUUUGCAAAAAUACCGAGUUUCUUUGAUUACUUGGUACAAGUAUACAUGUUUUUACUUUUACGGGCUUGGUUGUUCUAUGCGGACACGGUUCGUUCGACCGUUUAGCCAGGUACAUUAUUUUCCUAUCUAGACCCCACUUAGCGCAACUUAGCUUCUCCGAGUAGGUGACCUUCGAGGGGGAUGCCCCCUUGUAUUUGAGGUUUAAUGCAAAAGAAGCCUUGAAUACUUCUUGGGUCUUCCUUAGGUAGAUAUAGAUGUUGCCUCGUUAAAAACCUUGCCGGUAAAACCCUUCUUGGGAUAAAAAUCCGAUCGAAGGAAAAGAGUGCAACUCAUGCUUUUGAAACCUAAGGCCUUCGAGCUGGGAAGAGCUUCGGUUAUUUCGACCGGAUACCUGCAUUUAGGUUAGUAUAAAAUGUAACUGAAAAGGGGUUUAGCUAUACCUUAGUGCUGACGGUGCUUAGGAUCUUGAUGUGAUUCAAUUGCUUGUUAUGAGGACUCGGUACGGUCCUUUGUUUUGUUUAGUUGUGGUAGCCGAGAGUGUAGCUUCUUAUCGCUAUUUUACUGUUUGCUUAUCCUUUGGCUCCAUCGAGGCUGGAGGUACUAGUGUCGGCAUUACAUCGUGCACUGAGAACAUUUCUCUUGCCGUAUGUUCUUCCCCGUAGACGGUUUUAAUCCCAUCCUUUGUCGGGAAUUAAAUCAUUUGAUGGAGGGUGGAUGGCACUGCUCUCAUGCAGUUUAUCCAUAGCCUUCCGAGAAAGGCGUUGUACCUCAUAUCUCCUUUGAUGACAUGGAAUUUGGCAUUUUGGGUUGUGCCGUCCACGUUGACUGGGAGGACUCGAGAGGCGGGCACAAUUUGGUCAAGCAGUCUCAGCUGCUCUACCACCUUCGGCCUGAUAAUGUUGGCCGAGCUACCUGGAUCUACAAGUACACAUUUAAUUUGAAAUAUAUUUACAAGGAAAGAGAUUACCAGUGCAUCGUUGUGAGGUUGAGACAAGGUCUUGAUGUCAUUAUCGUUGAAUGUGAGAGCAUCUUUGGGUAUGUAACCCCGAGUUCGCUUUUCUCUGGUGAUGGAUAUUUUUGUUCUUCUCAUCAUGGGAUCAUGUGGGGCAUUGAUGCCUCCCAACAUCAUGUGGAUGACAUGUUGUGGCUCAUUUGGUUUGUUCUUCUUGGUCGCCUCUCUUUCCCGGAACUGAUUUUUGGCCCGGUCGUUGAGAAAUUCUUGGAGGUGACCUUUACUGAGUAGUCGGGCUACUUCUUCUCGGAGCUGGUGGCAAUCCUCGAUCUUUUGUCUGUGCGUGUUAUGAAAUUCACACACUAAGUUAUGAUUUCUUUGCUAAGGAUAUGAUUGCACAGGCCUGGGCCACCUGAUGUCUCUAAUUUUACUGAUGGCGAACACGAUGUCUGAUACGUCAACGUUGAAGUUGUAUUCCGACAAGCGAGGUGCCUCUGUUGGCCCUGUGUGCCUACCGAAUCUAGCUCUAUUGACGAGCCCCCAAGGAUUCUAGCCUCGGUCCAUCCUUCAAUCAUUGCGGGGCAUGUUGCGCCUCGGGGCAUUUCUCCUAUCUUCGGUGUAUGGCUGGUACCUUUCUUUGUUUGGCUUUGGCUCCUUCACCAAAAGCCUACUUGGGUAUAUCGAGCCCGAGAGGGCUCCUAGUUGGUCCUCCUCGACCCUAAUUUUCGAUUGAUAUCGGUUGUGAAUGUACGACCAGGUCACGAUGAGAUAUUCAACCAGAUUCUGUUUCAGCUGCUUCGAAGCCACUGAGCUUCGUUCAUUCAGACCUUGAGUGAAGGCCUGUACUGCCCAGUAGUCGAAGAAUAUUGGUAGUUCUAUUUGUUCUAAUUGAAAUCGAGAUACGAACUCUCGCAGCAUCUUAUUCUCCCUCUGCUUGAUCUUGAAGACGUCAGUUUUCCUUGUUGCUACUUUGAUGGCACCGACAUGUGCCUUUAUGAAAGAAUCUGCCAGCAUGGCAAAUGAGUCUAUAGAGUUAGGAGCUAGGUUGUGAUACCACAUCAUGUCCCCUUUCGACAGUGUUUCCCAUAAUUUCUUCAGUAAGACGGAUUCGAUCUCAUCGUACUUUAGGUCGUUUCCCUUCACUACGCAAGUGUAGGCAGUGACGUGCUCAUUGGGGUCCGAGAUUCCAUUGUACUUUGGAAGCUCGGGCAUUCUGAACUUCUUUUGAAUGGGUUUUGGGGCCGCUUCCUGCGGGAACGGAUUUUGCACGAACUUCGUCGAGUCUACCCCUUUUAGAAUCGGGGGUGCGCCUAGUAUUUGAUCGACCCUGGAAUUCUAGGUCUCCGUCUUCUUGUCGCUGGCUUCUAUCUACUUCUCGUCCGACUCGAUCCUCAUUGUGAGGUCCUCAAGCAUCUUUACGAUGGUGGGGUCGAUUGCCGACCCAUUGUUGCUUGAUCUCUCUGGUACCUGCUCGGCUGGGGGGGUCGUCCCCGGUUCUACCAUGCUGGGAGUUUUCUAGUGACUUUGCAGUUGAGCAAUCACCAGCUGUUGUGCCUGUAACAUUUCAAAAAUAACAUGAAGGUUAACCUCUCAUUCUUCCCUAGUUGGGGUUUUCUGAGCUUCUUGUUGGUCUCCUUGAUGCACGCUCCAGUUAAUGUGGGAGCACGUCGCGUGAGACUGCAUCCACGGGAAUUGGUUCUAGUGCGUUCUCAGGGUUUUGUGGUGGUACGCCAACACCUGGAACAUCCACACCAUUCUCUCCAUAGUUCUCAAGAUUGUUGUUGACUGAGUCAUACAUUUCGACCUGAAAUCAAAAAACUUGGGCAAGAAAAAGUGUGAAAGAUAACUUGCAUUGUGUAGUAAGACCAACAAGAAAAUAAUCACUAUUAUUUUUAGCCUCACGAUGGGCGCCAAACUGUUUACCGUGAAAAUGAUAAUUACAAUUAAAUCUGAUUUUGCGGUUCUAAAAAUACGUGAUCUAUUUUUGUUCUAGUUGUUUGGGCAAUAGAGGCUAAGUGAGGUACUUGGAAUCAAGAUAAGAGCUUAAAAACAAGAUGUUAAACAAACCGAAUAGCUAUCAAUCGGGGCCUCGAGUUUACUUAUUCGAGGCCUCGGGGUCGAGUCUGAUGUCCGCCGAGGGUGAUCGAGGGACGACUAACAGUUAUAAUCAAAUCAAUGAUGGCUCUUUAUCGCCAAUAAUAAGAAAUAAAUGAAAAUCCAUAAAUAGAACACAAUGGAUAUGAACAAUAAAUGCAAGUAAUGAGAUCAAGAGAAUAUGCUAGAGAGCAGAGAGAAUGUUCUUGUGUAUUUAGUAUUGAGCAACAUGUAUUUACAAAAGGACAAGUAUCCCCUUUAUAUAUAAGGGGGAAUCCCAACAUAGUACAUAUGCAUUAAUUAUAAAGAUAUGAAGAUGGUACAGCUAGUUAAUGCCUUGAUUUGUUUUUUGGACUUGUCCACUAGGCUUUGUCAGAUGUAUGUACGUGCCUUGGGAACUUCACCUUGAUCCAUCAAGACCACUAAUUUACAUUGCCUCGAGGCCGGUCGUUAUUCACACUACCGCGAAGUCGAUCACCGAGAACCCUCGGAGUCGAUCACUGAAAAUCCUCGAGAUGCCUUGAUGAUCGUAAAAUCAAACCGUUGAUUUCUACUAAUAACUAGGAUUUUUGUGGUAUAUUUUAGUCUGAAAAAGGUCCAAACACUUCAUAGCAUUGAAUACUCCAUUCCUUUGGAGCUUUUUAAGGAGAUUCUCUCACUUUUCUUCAUUGUAAGCUUUUAAUAUUUUCUUUCAUGCUUUAAAUAUUAGGAUUGUGGACCCAAAAUAGGUAUAAUAUUAAUGGGUGUUUACCAUUAAAUAUAAAUAUAUAAAUAUAUAUAUAUAUAUAUAUAUAUAAGGGGUUAUUGAUUUCUCUUCAUUUCUCAUGCUUCAUUCAUAGUUGGUGGUUGUAAAUAUUAAUUAAUGCCAUUUUACUUUAUCUUUCAGUUGAAAAAGUGUAUUAGGUUUUGUAGAAAAGAAUAGCAAGAACUCGAGGCUAUAAACCUUGUUUAAUAGAACCGCUUAUGAAUAAGUGGGUCCUACUUGGUAUAUAUUAGUUUCUCUUAAUUGUAACACUUUGGUAUUUGGAAAAUUCAUAAAGAGGAAAUUCAAUGUAAUUAUUGGAAAAUAUUGGGUAGUCACUUAGAAAUCAUUUGCACAUCAAAGGACUUUCCAUUAGAAAUGUAUCAUAUUAAAACUAUAACAUUACAUUCCAUGAAAGGGGACAUAACCUUUAUUUCUUAAUCCAGUAGUCAAAUCUCUUAACAAAAUAGCUUCUCUUCAUAGAUUACAAAGAUCAAACUCUUUCUAAACUAACGGGAUAAAAUUACGAUCUUAUUCAAGUAAUCUUUUGUUACACCCCACAUUUAAAUAAAGCGUGAAUUCUAGCGCGUCCAAUCAGCUGGAGACAUGUUUGAAGCCAGAAGGUGGUCACACGUUUCAGUAGGUCUGCACCAAGUGUCUCGCCGACAACCGGGGUGGGCGACGCAUUUUGCAUGUAGGAGCGGCGAAAAUUCCAAGGCUUGGUAUUAAUAUAAAAUGAUAGUAAGGCUCAUUUUUUUCAUUCUUAGAAGUAUCACUAGAACAAGUUCCCACAAAUACUGUCAACACACUUUUAGAAUUUCCUAUUGAAUUAAGGCAAAGUUGAAGGUGAAUAUGGAUUUGGCAAGAUUUAGGUUGAAGGAACUUGGAGUCGUUAUUGUAACCCGCCAUCGUCUGGUGACACUAAUUCUGAAGACUCGUUAAAGGCAAAGUUAAUCACCAUAGGAGUGUAAUUAGAUCUCCAACAAAAUAUGUGGGGGAAUCUUCUUUCUUGGCAUGAGUUAGCGUAAAUCUCUCAUUCUUUCUAAAUAACUCGUGUACCGAAGGUUUAGUAGUUCCAGGUCCUCUCAAUGAUAUUAUAUUGUUCUUGUGCAUUGUUGCUGGUAGCAUGUCUUAUAAAGUCUAUAUUAUUUCAGUUAGUAUAUCUCUUGAAACUGCUAUUAUAUUAGACUUCAAAUAAUGCAUGGCCCCAACGAGAGGCAUGGUUUUGCAAAGAUUUGGAUGCGUUUAUGAUCCAUGGUCUAUAGUUUUCCACAGUUUGAUCUAUGCCCCCCGACGGCUUGUCUUCGGUAUUUAGGUUGGAAUCACGUACUCACAUUUCUUAUGUUAUGACUCUGAUUUACUUGUGCUUCUUAGUCUUACAUAUUUAGUACAUGAUCCAUACUGACGCCCUUUCCUUUUUGGGUGUUGUGUUCAUGCCCAUAAGUACAAAUAGACUCGGUGACGCCCAUCCCAAGUAGGUUCAUGAUUCAGCUGUUGGUUGUUGCUCUCCACUUCUUCGCAGUAGUUGUUCAAAGGCCAAUAGAUACUGAAGCAGAUGUCAUAAACAUUUUGGGUACGAUGCGACCCUAUCCAGACCAAGUUGUGUAAUAUGUAUAGCUGUUCUGGGAAUCUUAGAGGCUUGCAAACUAGUGUUAGUAUUUGGUUGCAUGUAAUGGCUGGAUAUGACUAUGUUAGUCAUAGUGAUGAUCAUGUAUAAAACGCAUAUAUUGCUUUUGCUAAUUAGUUGUACUCAUUUUAAAUUUUGGUAGACGUUACUAGAAGGCCUCAAAGACCCAGUUUUUUAUGAAUAAAAGUAUGGAAGAUCACACAUGCAUCAGUUCCAUUUGCACCUCCCAAAGUUGGGGUGUGACAAACUUGGUUUCAGAGUAGGUCAUGUCCUCUACAAGCCGUAUUUAUUAGAGUCUUGUUUAUGGGUAUGUGGUGCACCAUACUUAUAAGCAGGAGGCUACAGGAGACGCAAAUCACUAGUUCAAAGACUAAAUGAAAAAGCAGGAGAAGGUACCAGCCAGGUGCCACCUGCCCUUAUGGGUCAACAUGGACCCCAUGAUGAGGUUGAAACUUAGGUUUUGGGGACAACACCACCACACCUGGAUCAUACUAGAGAAGUUUAUGCAUCCCCUAUUCCUCCGCUGGUUGUUCUCGAGCAACAUUUAGACAUGAGGAAUGUAGUGUAGCCUUUGACUUAAUUAGUGGCCUCUCAGGCCCAAUGUCAAAUCCCCGCCACCUCGGAUAGAGCGGUUAUCAGGAGAGUCCGAGAUUUUUUAAAUUUGUACACCCUGGUGUUUACCAUAAUAGAUCCCAACGAAGAUCUCCAGAAUUUUCUAGACCAAAUGCAGCGGACCUUAUGACUUAUGCAUGCCACCAAUACAGAGUCCAUAGAACUUGCCUCAUAUAGAUUGAGGGAUGUUGUUGUGACUUGGUAUGAGACGUGGGAGCAGUAUAGGGGACCUCUUACCCCACUGGGAUGGAAAGAGUUUUUUGAAGCCUUUCUGUAAGGGUAUUUGCCUAUUUAGCUCCACCGAGCUAAGCAUGAUAGAUUUUUACAGUUGGAACAAGGUAAUAUGAGUAUUCGGGAGUACAACAUGCAAUUUAACUCCUUGGCCAAAUAUGCUCUUUUAAUUGCAGCAGAGAUGAGUGAAAGAGUACAUCGAAUCGUGGGUGGACUAGGGCCACAUUUGAUUAAUGAAUGCACCACUACUUCUUUGAGUCUGAACUUGGACAUUAAUCUUAUCCGACGGUAAGUGCAACAUCACAGUUUUAAGAUCAGAUCCAUGGUCGGAUCACCUAUACUGGUCUGAGUUAGAAUCCACGGGGUCAGAGCUCGCAAUUUAGUAGAGGCCCUGGUAAGAUGAGGCCCCUGGUGCCGCAUUGUGGCAGGUGUGGUAGGAAUCAUUUUUGGCAUUGCCGUCAGGGUUCAGAUUUGUGCUAUUCUUGUGGGCAGCCCAGUCACAUCAUGCGUUUUUGCCCAGCAAGAAAUAUGGAUGGCGUGAUACCACCAACAGGAUUGACAACAAAUUAUUGAUUGAUAAUGCAUCCUCGUGAGCAAGGUAUACAGCCGCUGAUGGUAAGGGGUAGAGGUAGAAGUGGAAUGUCUAGCCCGAAUGUGCAACAGCAAAAUCAUAUUUAUGCAUUGUCAGGUCGUCAGAAUUAAGAGUCGUAACCCAAUGUGGUCAUAUGUAUACUAUCUAUAUUCUCCCCUAAUGUGUAUGCUCUGAUAGAUCUAGGAUCCACGUUGUCGUACAUUUCUCCAUUUGUGUCUAAUAACUGUGGUAAGAAACUUGAAUUGCUACAUCAACCAUCUGAAGUGUCCAUGCCCAUGGGUGAAUACGUGGUAGCUAGGCAGGUGUAUCAAGGUUAUGAUGUGAUGAUUCAUGAUCAAUAUACCUUGGCCUAUUUGAAUCAAUCGGAAAUGAUAGAGUUUGAUGUCACUGUAUACAGCGGAAAUCGAUGACUCGAUUUCAUGGCAUCUCGAGGGUUUCCAGUGAUUGACUCUGAGAAUUCUCGACAGUUACACUUCGAGACAGUAUGAGUAAUGAGUGGCCUCAAGGCAAUGGAAUUAACAGUCUCGGUGGAUCAGGGUGAAGUUCCCAAGGUAUAUACAUAUAGCUGGCUAAGUCUAGUGGUCUAGUCAGAAAAGCGAAUCAAUGCAUUAAAUGGUCGUACUAGCCCAUAUUUUUGUAAUUAAUGUAUUUGUACUAUGUUGGGAUUUCCCCUCUUAUAUAAAGGGUAUCCUUGUCAUUUUGUAAACAUUUGUUGCUCCAUACUGAAUAUACAAGAACAUUCUGUCUGCUCUCUAACAUAUUCUCUUGAUCUUAUUACUUCAUUUAUUGCUCGUAUUUAUUGUGAUUCUAUUCAUUGUUCGUCAUUUAUUGCUUAUUAUCGGCCAUAAAGAGCCUCCCUUGAUCUAUUUGUAACUGUUAUUCGCCAUCGACCGCCUUCGAUAGCUCCUAGCCGAGCUUCGGACUCGACCUCGAGGCCCUCGAAUAGGCAAGCUUGAGGCCCCAACCGAUAGCGAUUCGGUUUAACUAACACCUCAUUCUUAAGCUCUUAUCUCGUUUCUAAGUCUUUCACAUAACAUCUACUGCCUAACAACUGGCAUAAAAAUAGAUCACGUAUUUUUAGAACCACAAAAUUAAAUUUAAUUGUUAUUACCAUUUUCACGGUAAACAGUUUGGCGCCCACCGUGGGGCUUAAUAUAAUAGUGAUUAUUUUCUUGAAGGUUUAGCUACACAAGGCAAGUUAUCUUUCACGCUUUUUCUUGCCCAAGAUCUUUGAUUUCAGGUCAAAAUGUCCGACUCAGUGAACAACAAUCUUGAGAACCACGGAGAAAAUGGUGUAGAUGUUCGGGGUGCUAGUGUCCCACCACGAAACCCUGAGAACGCACCAGAAUCGAUUCUCGUGGACGCGGUCUCACGCGAUGCUCAACAUGUCGAUGUAAGCUCCCACACUAACAGGAACGUGCACCAAGGAGACUGACAAGAAGCUCAGGAAACCCCGGCUAAGGAAGAAUGGGAGGUUAACCUUCACGUUAUUUUUGAAAUGUUUCAGACACAACAGCUUAAGAUUGCUCAGCUACAAAGUCACCAAAAAACUCCCAGCACAGUUGCUCCGGGGACGGCUCUCCCGACCGAGCAGGUACUAGAGAGGUCAACCAACAAUGGGUCGGUAGCCAACCCCGCCAUCGUAAAGAUGCUCGAGGACCUCACAAAGAGGAUCGAAUCGGGCGAGAAGAAGAUAGAAGCCAAUGACAAAAAAGGUCGAGACGUACAACUCCAAGGUCGAUCAAAUUCCAGGCGCACCCCCGGUCCUGAAAGGUGUGGACUCAAAAAAAUUCAUACAAAGGUCGUUCCUAGAAGAAGCGGAUCCAAAACACAUUCCAAAGAAGUUCAGAAUGCCAGACCUUCAGAAAUACAACGGGACCUCAGACCCCAAUGAGCAUGUUACUGCUUACACUUGCGCAGUGAAGGGCAACGAUCUCAAGGACGAUGAGAUCGAGUCCGUAUUGUUAAAAAAGUUCGAGGAAACACUCUUGAAAGGGGCCAUGAUGUGGUAUCACAACCUAGCUCCUAACUCCAUAGACUCAUUUGCUAUGCUGGCAGAUUCUUUCAUAAAGGCCAUGCCGUCAAAGUAGCGACAAGGAAAUCUGACGUCUUCAAAAUCAAGCAGAGGGAGAACAAGAUACUGCGAGAGUCUUCGAAGCAACUGAAACAGAUCCUGGGCGAAUAUCCCGUCGUGACCUGGUCGGACGUUCACAAUCAAUAUCAAUCAAAAAUUAGGGCCGAGGACGACCAACUAGGAGCACCCUCGGCCUUGGUACACCCAAACAGGCCACCGACGAAGGAGCCAAAGCCAAGCAAAGAAAGGUACCAGUCAUACCCCGAAGACAAGAGGAACGCCCCAAGGCACAACAUACCCCGCAACGAUCGAAGGAUGGACCGAGGUCAGAAUCCUCGGGGACUCAUCAACAGAGCUGGCUUUGAUAGGUACACAGGGCCGACAGAGGCACCUUGCUUGUCAGAAUACAACUUCAACGUUGAUGUAUCGCACAUUGUGUUCGCCAUCAGUAAAAUCAGAGACACCAGCUGGCUAAGGCCCGUACAAUCAGAUCCUUCACAAAGGAACCAUAACUUAGUGUGUGAAUUUCACAAAAACACGGACACAUGACCGAAGAUUGUCGACAACUCCGGGAAGAGGUAGCCCGACUACUCGACAAAGGUCACCUCCGGGAAUUCCUCAACGAUUGAGCCAAAAAUCAGUUCCGGGAAAGAGAGGCGACCAAAAAGAACGAAGCAAAUGAGCCGCAACAUGUCACCCAUACGAUCUUUUAUGGUGUCAGUGUCGUGAAGAAACCACGGUCGGGAGAACGAAAAACAUCCCUCACCAGGAAGAGGAAAACUCGAGGCUCUAUCUCAGCCCCGUAACGACGCGCUGGUAACUUCUUUUCUUAUGGAUACAUUUCAAAUUAAACCUAUGCUUGUGGUUCCAGGUAGCUCGGCCAAUAUUAUCAGGUCAAAGGUAACAAAGCAGCUUGGACUACUCGACCAAACUAUGCCCUUCCCUCAAACCCUCAAUGAAUUUAACACGACAUCCACAAGGCAUAUUCUCGGUUGUUCUAAAUGAACAAAUAAAGGGCUGUACCGCACUCUUCGAGCAGAUAGCUAAAGGCCUACCGAGGUUCAAAGCGUCAUCGCCAACAAGGCCGAGCUUUUAUCCCGAAAAGGGUUUUACUGGCAAGGUUUUUAAUGAGGCAAUAUCCAUAUGCUACCUAAGGGAGACUCAACAAUUAUUAAGGGCUUCCUUUGCAAUCAACCUCGAAUACUGGGGGACAUCACCCCGGAAGGUCACCUACUUGGAGAAAGCCAAGACACAUCGAGUGCGGUCUCGAUAGGAAGAUAAUGUACCAGGCCAAACGGUCAAACGAACUGUGUCCGUAUAGAACAACUAAGCCCUUAAAUAGCAAAGAUAUGUAUACUUAAACCAAGUAAUCAAAGAAUACUUCACAAAAGCAUUUUGCGUGUCAAGAAAGCUCGACUUCUUUUGCAAAAAAAUGGCUCCAGAGACAAUAGACAAACCGAACAAUCGGGGAUUGGCAUCAACAACUCACAAAAUGUCUUAAGAGCCAAAAGAUGACCUGAACACUCGGGGACUGGCGUAAAAAACUCAAUACCAUAUUACCUUUGGGUCGGAAAUUCCAAAAUCGUAAGUCCUCAAUGAGGCAAUACCAAGCUUAGUAGUAAUGGAUCCCGAGUCGAGAAACCCUCGAUGGCUCGGGGACUACCGUCAAGCACCACCUCCAUUGACUUAUCAAAACCCGAGUUCAUAAGGCCACAUGUGGGCAGCCUCGGUCUCAUAAGACCUACAUAAAGAAACAGCAAUAUUUCUAAGAUCUCAAGCAAGGCGUGAACAAUACUUGUACUAAGUAUCCAAAACUGUAAGACUCAAAGGCAUGUAAAACUUGUAAGACCUUACUAAAGGGAUAAACCUGAUGUCAAAGUUUCAUCUAUAUAUCGAACUUGUAUGACCCAUAAAAAGGCAUACCCUUGAUAUAGAUGCCAAACCUACCUCACUCGGGACUUAAAGGCUACGGCCAAGCACAAAUGACUCCGGUCACAAGGUUGUACCAACCAAACUAACGCGACUCGGGGACACCCGACCGUCGCUAUAAAAUCAUAAGCCUUCAAUUACUUCGAAUAUACUUCGGAAAGAACCGGUUAAACAGGCUACCCUCGAUACAGGAAAAAGAGCUUCGACCAUGUUAGCUCCUAAAACACUGGCUUUAAGAUACUUAGCCUCCGAGCCAAACCUCCCGAGGUGCUCGAUCAUCGCCUUAUAAAGACUCACAAUCGAGGUUUUUUGAACCAUCGAAGAGUCAGGCAAAUAUUAUUUUAAAAAAUCCUUAUCGAGGGAAAAAUAAAGCCCUCAUAAAAGGUCGCAUCAACCCAAGGUGUAAGAGCCACUAUCGCCAGCCUGCAUACAGUAAAAGGUCGCAUCGACCAAAAGCUUAAGGGACGAUUGAGCUCGAGUCGUAACUCAAUUCGGAUAUUGAACCCAAAACAGCUAACUAAAUAUGCCUAAGGGCAAAAGCGUUUCGCCAACUUAAAAUUCAAAAACUUGAGGGUCGAAUGAGCUCGAGUCGUAACUCGAUUCAGAGAUUGAACCCAAAAUAGUUAACUAAAUAUGUCUAAGAGUAUAAGUGUGUAAAAGCCUACGGGCCAGCCCAAUGAGCCUCAAGGUCAUACCGUGAAUCUAAGGAUUCCCUUCAACUUAAAGACUAGUUCAUCUGGCUAAAAUCAAAACAAAAAGAAAUGCAGGAGAAACAAAACUGUGACGUUCCCCUCUUUAUACAUACACGCGAAAAAAUACAAGCUCUAUUUACAACAUACUUCGAAAGUACUAUGUACAGAAUCAAAAAAGGAAGUCUAUAUCCCCCUUUGGGACUAUGGCUCGUCGGCCUCAUCCUUGCUAUCCUCGGCAUCGGACAGAAGGAAUUUACCAUCAUAUUCUUCCUCCUUGGCCUGCUUGACCUCUUAGAAGAGGUCUAACUUGCAUGAAUUUCCUCGAGGGUUUCCUUCCGAUAUUUACACUUCACGUACUCUUUAAUAUUGUUAUCACGAUCGAGAGCUUCCCUCAGCUCAGCUCUAGCAUAGGCAACGCCCUUCAUAUAGGACGCAUGUAUAAAGUGAAACCGGAUUGUCUAAUUUCUCGCCAUUAAGGUGUAUUUGGGGUGUCAUAUCGAUAUCUCGAGGUUGCGGGAUUGCGGCCAAGUUCUCUCCCUCGAAAUCCAUUCACAUUUGACCCAGCAAUGACCCCUAGGGUAGGGAAUCCCCGAUGCGAGCAAAUGGCGCCAGUAGAGUCUAACAUCAUGUCUAGCCGUCCUAUAUCUGUGUCUUUACACUUAAUGCAUUCUGUACUAUGUUGUAUUCCUCCUCCUAUAUAAAGGGGAUCCUCACCACUUUGUAAAGGGCUGUUGUUGCUCCAACCGUUCUACACAAAAUCAAUAAUAUCUCUCUCUCUCUCUCUUUUCUCUCUAACUCACUCUCUCGAGGCUACUCUUUUCAUUUAUUUCUUUCAUAUUUGUUCUUCAUUUAUUGCUUGAUAUUGGCCAUAAACAACCUUCUUUAAUUAUAUCUUAAUUGUUAUCCCUUUCUCGGUUACUCCCGAUAGCUCGAGCUCGAGCCGAAUAUCGACCUCGAGGCCUUUUAUCGAUCAGUCUGAAGCCCAGGUAGAAAGCCCCUCGGUUUGAUUAUUGCCCCAUUCUAGCUUCUAUUUCGUCAUUAAACUUCAUAUGCAUAGCAUCAACUACUUUAACAACUAGCAUAAAAAUAGAUCACGUAUUUUUAGAGUCCCAUUUACAAAUUUGAUUGUUAUUACCAUAUUUACGGUAAACAGUUUGGCGCCCACCGUGGGGCUAAAAAUAAUAGUGAUUAUUUUCUUGAUGGUUUCAUUACACNNNNNNNNNNNNNNNNNNNNNNCUGGCUCGGUAAACAGAGUUGAGAAUGACUACCUUGAAAAUCACGGAGAAAAUCAGUCUGGUGCGCCACUGCAGAACCCCGAUAAUUCACCUGGACUGAUUCUAGCGAACGUGGGUUCGCAAGACAUGUAGCAGGUCGUCGAAACCUCACACACCGACAAAAGCAUACAACAUGGCAACCAAUAGGAAGCCCAGAAGACCCCGACUCGCGAAGUACAGGAAGUUAGUCUUCAUGAUAUUUUUGGAAUGUUGCAGGCACAAUAGUUGGCUAUCGCCCAGUUGCAAAGCCACCCGAAGACUCCCAGCACAGUAGCGCCGGAAACUAUCCCCCAACCGGACGGGUACCAGAGAGGUCAAGCAACAACAGAUCAGUAGUCGAUCCUACCAUCGUGAAAAUGCUGGAAGACCUUACCAAAAGGAUCGAGUCAGGCGAGAAAAUGAUAGCAGCCAACGAUAAGAAGGUCAAAACUUAUAACUUUUGAGUUGACCAAAUCCAAGGCGCGCCACCGGUACUGAAAGGUGUAGAUUCGAGGAAGUUCGUGCAACGGCCAUUCCCAAAGGAAGCGGCUCCGAAACCCAUUCCAAAGAAGUUCAGAAUGCCAGAACUCCCAAAAUACAAUGGGACCUAUGAUCCCAACAAACACGUCACAAAAGACGAUGAGAUCGAGUCCGUCUAACUGAAAAAGUUCGGAGAAAUGCUCUCGAAGGGGGCCAUGAUGUGGUACCACAACCUAGCGCCCAACUCCAUAGAUUCGUUUGCAAUGCUAGCAGAUUCCUUCGUAAGGGCGCACGCGGUGCUAUCAAGGUAGAAACAAGGAAGUCUGACGUAUUCAAGGUUAAGCAGAGGGAGAGCGAAAUGUUGCAAGAAUUCGUGUCUCGUUUCCAGAUAGAACGAAUGGAACUACCCCGGGUCUCUAAUGGCUGGGCAGUGCAGGACUUCACUCAAGGCCUGAAUGAAUAAAGAUCGGUGGCCUCAAGGCAGCUGAAAGAGAAUCUGAUCGAGUAUCCUGCCGUAACCUGGUCGGACGUCCACAAUUGAUACCAAUCAAAGAUCAGGGUAGAGGAAGACCAGCUGGGAUCCCCCUCGAGCUCAGUAUAUCCGAGCAUACUCUUAGAGAAGGAGUCAAGAUCGAAUAAAGAGAGGUACCAGUCGUACCCCGAUGAUAGGAGGAAUGCUCCAAGAUGCAACCCGCCUCGCAACGAUCGAUUGGUGAACAGAGGACAGAACCCUCGGGGACCCCUCAAUAGAGGUGCCUUAGACGGGGACACAGGGCCAACGGGGGCACCUCACCUAUCAGAAUACAACUUCAACGUCGAUAUAUUGGACAUCGUGUUCGCCAUUAGCAAAAUCAGGGACGCCAGAUGGCCCAGGACUAUACACUCGGAUACUUCCCAAAGAAACUACAACUUGAUUUGCGAGUUUCACAACUCGCACGGGCACAGAACCGAGGAUUGCAGGCAACUCCGAGAGGAAGUGGCCCGACUGCUCGACAACGGGGACCUUCGGGAAUUUCUCAUUAACCGGGCUAAAAACCAGUCCCGAGAAAGAGAAACAACCAAAAAGAACAAAGCAGACAAGGCCCAACACGUCAUCCACAUGAUUUUUUGAUGCUUGCUCCCGGACGUAUUCAAAUAAAGAACUACAUAACAUCCGCCAAACGAAUGCCGGAACCCGAAAGCGCCAUCGCCACUAAGAUAUAAUCACCUCUCCCUUUCUCUAUGUUUUACUUCAUGCUAACUCUUGUGCAGGCCAUCGACCAAGGCAGUCGGGACGCCACUCUGGCUCGAGGACCCUGAGGUUUCAAAGCCUCCGCUGCACUCUUUUCCUUUGACCGUUUUUUAUCCUGAAAUGGGUUUUUGCUGGUAAGGUUUUUAAUGAGGCAACGUCCACACACUUCCUAAGAAGGAUACAAUAGGCCUACCGAAUUUUCUUCACAAUCAACCCUGUACCGGGAAAUGACAAAUAAGGUUCCAAUAGGAAACGGUAUACCGGGACAAACGGUCAAAUGAACCGUGUCUGCACAAGCCGGGCUUACGGCAACACAAUGACAUGUAUUUACGCCAAGCAAUCAAAGAAUAUCUUUCGCCUAAAGCAUCUCAUACUCCAUGACCUCAGGGUCGAAACUUCGUGCUCAUAAGGCCCCAACGAGGUAAUUCUAAGCUCACGAGUAACGGCCUUCAAGACUAAGCAAACUCGAUGACUCAAAGACUGUCGUCAAUUUCCAUUCAUUGGAAAACCCGAGGCCGUAAGACCUCGAGCGGGCAAACUCGGUCUAGCCAGAUAUAUUUUACAUAAAAACAAAAAAUGGUAAGACCUCAACAGGCAUGAAAAAACUGUAAGACCUCAACAGGUAUGAAAAAAUUGUAAGACCUCAACGGCAUGACAAAACUAUAAGACCUAAACAGGCAUGAAAAAACUGUAAGACCUCAACGGCAUGACAAAACUGUAAGACCUAAACAGGCAUGAAAAUUUUGUAAGACUUUACCACAGGCAUAAAACUCGAUCCCAAAGUUUAUGCUAUAUGUCGCAUUUGUAAGACUCCCGAAAGGGCAUACCCUCAAUGUAGACGCCUAAACUGCCACACUCAGGAUCACAAAUGGCUUCGGCCAAACACAAAUGACUACGGUCAAUACGGCCGCACCAGUCAAANNNNNNNNNNNNNNNNNNNNNNNNNUUAACAAGGGAAAAGCAAAGCCUACAUAUGCCUAAGGGAAAAAGCGUAAGAUCCAUAGUCUCCAGCCAAACGAGCCUCAGGGCCACACACUAAAAUGAGGUCGAGUCGUAACCCGAUUCGGAGACCAGAUCCGAAAUAGUUAACUACACAUGCCUAAGGGCAUAGCAUAAGAGCCAUCGUCACCAGCUCCACAAGCCUCAGGGCCACAUACAUAAUAGGUCACUUCAACCCAAGGCGUAAGAGCCAUUGUCGCCAGCCCUUGCAGACGUAAAACUUGAGGGUCGAUUGAGCUCGAGUCGGAGCCCGACUCGGAGACUGAACCCAAAAAUGGUUAAAAUGAGCACGCCCAAGGGCAAAAGAUAAAAGCCGUUGUCGCCGGCCUAACGAACAUCAGGGCCAUAUUACAGGUUUGGAUAUUUCUACCAAUCUAAAGGUCGAAUAGACCCGAUUGAGAUCUUGACAAAUAGAAAUACAGAAGAUACAAAUUGCGAGCUUCCCUCUCUUAUUUUUACAUAUAGGCGGUGAAACGCAAGCUCAGUCUACAACAUAUUAUGGAAGCUAUGUACACAAGAAGGAGGCAGGGAAUAAACGUUCCCGCCUUCGGCAACUAUAGCCCAGCGGCUCCCUCCUCACCAUCUUCAACAUCGGACAGAAGGAACUUGGCACCAUACUCCUCCCCUUUGGCUUGCUCGAUUUCCCCCGAGAGAUCGAAGCCCCUGGCAUGAAUAUCCUCGAGGACUUCCCUUCGGGAUCUGCACCUCGCAUACUCCUUGCUAUUGCUUGCAAGAUCAAGGGCUCUCUUCAGCUCAACUUUAGAAGCGAGAGCACUCUUUGAAUAGGCCGCCACUUUUUGUCCCGCCCUAGUAUUACUCAUCACAACCUCGGCCCAAACAUUCACCACCUCGGUCUUCGCGUUUAAAAGCUCAGACGAAAGCCUUGCGAUCAUGUUCGCCUGAGCAAAAUCGUUCACACGAACGGUCUGGAUUUGUGCCUCAAGAGCGGAAACCUUGGCUUGAGCCCUCUCUUUGGCGACAAAAUGGGCACUUACAUGCACCCGCAGCUUGUUGAAUUUGCAUUUGGCUCGGCCAACCUCACCCUAGACCUGUCCUAGCUCAUUCGCCUUAUCCUCCAACUGAAACAUCGAAACAUCAGGAUGCGAAGACAGAAAGGGAGUGCAAGCCAGCAUAAAGUACAGGGUACCUGUUUCUCCAGGCGGAUCUCAUGGCUCCGGCUCUGGUCCACCUCACGCCAUAAGGAAACCAGCUCGCUUUCCUUCGCCUCACAAAGAAGCUUGAGGGAUUUCUCCCUAUUCAAAGCCUUCCACAACGGGGCCUCGCUAUGAAGCAGCUCGAAUUUAAGCUUGUCAAAGGCCUGUGAAAGAAAGCUAAAUAAAGAAAGAGAAAAGGGGAAAAAGAAAAGCAAGGGGCUGGAAUAAUCUUACAGCAGUCAAAACUCACCAUAAGGCCAAACCGAGAUGCCUCGCCGAAGGCCGAAACAACGUCCAAUGGCGUACCACUCCCAAAAGAUGGUCGAUCGACCGAAUAGCUUCUCCUUAACUGCUGAGAGGGAGUCGCCUCACUACAAGCCUUCUUUCACCCCGGAGCAUCUUUUCUUUUGUCAACACUCCUUGAUCCCGAGGCCAGCAAUCUCUCCUCCUCCCCCGGAGGACACGACCUUAUUUCGAAAGAACCCCCGGAACCAGCGACAGUUGAAUCAAAUAAGCUGGCAAGAAAAGCGCCAUUUUUUAGGAGACAGAGCACUGAGCACCUACCACGAUGCUUCGCCUCCCAUCUCCCUUUGGACAGAUCUCACCAUCGGCGCCUAUCAUAAAUCGAGCAAGCUGCUAGCUUACGAGACAACUCGGAUAAAUUAGGGACCUCGCUCGGUGACCAAUGGGUUGCUACAAAUAAGGAACAGAAGGAUAUCAUUACGGAGCCUGCCUUCGGUCAAAAUGAUGAUAGUUCAUAUGAGGCACUUACGUGUAAAGUUCCAUUUUUCAAGAAAUGGCAAAAAUUCUCUAGGAAUGACAUCGGUCUUUCGAAUCUGAAUGAAUCCAUUCAUCCAUUAUCGUCCUUAUCCUCCUCACUACCAACCACAUGAGCUCGGGUGGAUCUACGCUGAAGAUCAAUUAGACCCCGGUAACGCAGUGGCCGAUAUAACCUCAUGAGAUGGCUGAGGGUAAACUCUAUCCCGGCCUUAUCGGAAAAAUAUCUCAUCGCCUGCACUAUUUUCCAAAGGGAGGGAUGAGCCUGCGCUAGUGUAACCCGAUAUCUCCGACAGGAAUUGAGCACGACCCGGUCGGGGAAACCCGGCACAAAAACAUGCGUGUAUACGCUCAAAAAUACCUCAACAUAUGUCAUAACGCUCUCCUCGGGAGAAGGUACUUGUAAUAUCACGUCUUCUCCCAUCCGCAAUAUUUUCUAAUCAUCUCGAGAUUUUCCUCUCCCAUUGAUGAAAUGAUCCUCGACACAUGCUUCCGGUGGCCCGGAACAUUGGAAGGUUUCCUCGACGUGACAGCUCUCCCCGAGGCAGGGCAUCUCGAGCAUCGCUCACUUGACAUCGAAGGUGAGCUGCUGGCGCCAAACGAAUGCAGACACAGGAGGAGCUUUCCUCCACCGACGAUCGGAUGUUGACGUAGCAGUCAUGGCUACGGUAAAAUAAGAGGGGAAAGAUGAGGGUCUGAGCAAAAAAAAAUCUUCUUGAAAUAGGGGAGCGGAAGAACUAGAACAAAGCGCUAGGCUCUGCGAAAGAGAUAGCCUUUCAAAGCAGCAAAUUCACCGUUGGAAAGAUGGAUGAAUGAAUAUAUAGGGGCUAAGCAACAACUUCCCACCUACCCAAGAGGCCAAUUAAUUCUAGUCGCGUUAACGUCACCCUCUCCUAGGGAAACGUACUUGCGAAAUUAUCCCUGGGCCAUUUUUAUUGGAUCAUACAAAUAUUGUUACCCCACGAGGCCUCGAGAAGCUCCCUGACAUCACGAGCAUCGAUCCUAGAGAGGCUGUCAAUUUAACCUUGGGGCAUGGCCAAUUUCUAGAUCCCAGUUGCUUUGAGAACAGGUCCCGAAAGGCCAAUGUUGAGAGUCAUGAGCUAAAUCGCGAAAGCAAAUGGGCAAAGAAAGAAGAGACUGAAGAAAGCUGACAGGAGGAAAACCCCUUUUUUUUACAUUGCCAAAAUAUGUAUUCACAAAAAACAUCUUUACACAACCCAUCCCCCGGGGGCCGUAUACAAAGGGAAAGGGAAGGGAUAGAAAAUGACUCAGAGGCUACUCCCCAUCGCUAUUAUCUUUGCCCUCAUCGGGGGCAAUUAAAAGCGCCAACUCUUCCUCCAAUUUGCAGGCUUCCUUGAGAUCAGCUGAUAGGUUGAUACCUCUGGCUCUGAUGUCCUCAAAGGUCUCUCUCCUCGCCUCCGCCUUAGCAUGCUUAAUAGCUCGGGUUAAUUUCUUCCCAGCUGCUAUUGAUAUGUCACGAGCUAUUCUAUGCGUCGUGGCUGCAUCCUCCAGAUAAGUGGCGGCAUUUCGUUUAGCCUCGGACUUGGCUGCGGCCAAAGCAACAACCUCCUUGCGAGCAUCCUUGAUAAGAUCCCGAGAUAUCGCCAAAUCACCAGCCACAAAACAAAGGUGAACCAAUUUAUGUCGGAACACGGGAAUAGAAGUCGGGUACAAGCAAGGCAAAAUACCCGUGCGGUAAGGUCAAACUUUUCAAGAAGCGCCGUUUCCAAAGCAACUCGGGCCUCUCCUAGUUCCUUCCCUCCCUGGGCAAAGCGAACCUCCGAAUCCUGCAGCAUCGAGGUAGCUUUCUUACACUCUUUUUCAUGAUAAGAAAGCUCCUUGCAGAGUUGAAGGAUGGCAUGAUCGUACGUCUCCUUGCACUGCGGUAUAACAGAUAAGUUAGAAAGACAAGGGAUGACGUUUGAGGAUAAAAGAAAUACACGAGAAAUGGCUAUCACCUGCUGCAUGAAUUUCUCCGCCGCUUUACGGCGCUAGGAAUAUCAAGAUCGGCACUAUCACUAACACCAUUAAAGAUGUUGGCAAUAGAGCCUCCCCCUUAGAGAGGAAUCCCUGAUUUGAUGCCAACCACUUUUUAAGCGCUCUGUAGUUCCCCUGACGAGACCUAGAAGCAUGAGAGGAAGUCGUUUAGGUCGCCGACUUCUCCAGAAAGCAACCCAUGCUCUUGAAAGGCUUCGCCCCCGACCCUUUAGGAUCAAUGGCAGUGGUCCCCCCGGCAGAAACUACAUUGAAUCCAGUUGCGCGAUUUGAAGCUACUUUAACACCGUCUUCAAGGGUCUCCGGCUCGCGAGAUCGACCGGAGUCAACCGUUCCGGACUCAGUAGCCUUCGAUCGAGGCACCUAUGAUGCUCUCGCAUUCGACCCCGUCCUCCGCACUAACGCAUGUUCAUCAUCAUUAUCACCCUCUUCCUCGGUGUCAAGAUUUGCCCCUGAAGUCGAAGUAGAGGUCCCGGCAGCGGCUCAGUGCUCGAAGUGACCCAAAUUUCUUUGCCACAUGAAGGACAACAACUGCCUUGCUUUACAUCUUCUUGCUCAUGUCAGGCUCCAAAUCCCCUGGCCUCAUCAGCAUAUUCUCGCCAAGACCUGCAUAAGUGCGGUAACCGCAAUAUGUCACCACCAAGGGCGUGGGGGGAAACACAAACAUAAGACAUAGGCGGUAAGGAAACUCUAUCGUGAUUCUUGGCCACCCAUCGCCCCUUGGCCAGGUCGGUCCAAGACCGAACAAAAUAUGGGAACUUCUCGUCCAACCGCUUGAUCCAUCCCGACAAAUCUAGAACUGCCUCGGGGUACCAAGCAGCGGCUGCAGGAAGCCCAAUGAGAUUGUUAUUUCAAAAAGAAGAAUAGUUGAAAAGCGGUUAAGGGAAAAUUGCUUACGUUGGGUGUUCCACCCCUCCAGAAAGGGCAUCCUCUGGGCCGGGAUGAUAUCCGAGGUCUUUACUCGGAUAAACCUUCUCAUCCAUCCUCGAUCCUUUCCCACAUCGGCGCUCAAGAAAAAUGAUUUUUUGGAUCGAUGAUGGAGCCUGAUUAAACCUCGAUAAAAUCAAGGGUUGUACAUCCUGAUUAUAUGAUUGAGGGUAAAGAUCUCACUCUCAACCCUUUCGAUUAAAUGGCAAAACAUCAAUAUUAUCCUCCAAAAAGAAGGGUAGAUCUGACCAAGCGUCACUUGGUAUCGGUCGCAGAAGUCAAGGAUAACUGGGUCUAUCUCCGGGGGAGACGACUAGGAAGAAUUAUAGGGACCCAGGGUAAAUGGGUAGGUGUACACGUAAAGAAAGCCGAACUUAUGAUUCGUUAUAUUAUCAUUGGGACUGGGAAUCUCCACCCCCACUGCUUCGCUCCAUCGGCAGUCCGUCCUCACCGUGCUAAUAUUGAUCACGAUGCUAACAUAUCGGGACAUAUGCUCACACCGGCCCGGUGUAGAUGAAGUGGCAUCGACAUUAAAAUCCUUUGACAUAUAGAGAUUAGGUGGGGUACACUAUUCAAAAGAAGGAAUCGCUCUCGUUUCCUCCUUAGAUGAUCGAGAUGAUGAUGCAGCGUCGUUCCGCCGAGGAACUGUUCUAGAAGUCCUAGCCAUGUCAAUAGAAAAAAAUUUCUCUAAAAAAAAGAUAGAAGAAUGGAAGAGGCAAAGAGUACUGACUCGUGAAUUUGGAGAUGGGGUGAAAGUAAGAAGUAUCAAACAGUCGAUGCAUUUAUAGGAACCACCUGGGCGGCAGAAAGGAUGAGCCAAUGGCAGUUCGUGGGUUCCUCGAUUAUCGCAUUUGACGACGACCUUUGUAUGGUUUUCUGGAAUAUGGCAUUUAAUGCUCUUAUCGGUUGACGUCACGACAAUCAUGACCUCGAGACGACGGUUCAAAAUCGUUUCCUAUUACUUCAUUCUAGGAAAUGCAGAGACUAGCUGUAUAUGGUGAAAUUGAAGGGUCCCAUUUCUCACCAUUAAGGUGUAUUUGGGGAGUCAUAUCGAUAUCUCGAGGCUGUGGGAUUGCGGCCAAGUUCUCCCCCUCGAAUUUCAUUCACGUUCGACCCAGUAAUGACCCCGAGGGUGGGGAAUCCCCGAGGCGAGCAAAUGGCGUCAGUAGAGUCUGACAUCAUGUCUAGCCAUCCCAUCUCCGUGUCUUUAAACUUAAUGCAUUCUGUACUAUGUUGUAUUCCCCUUCCUAUAUAAAGGGGAUCCUCACCACUUUGUAAAGGGUUGUUGUUUCUUCAACCGUUCUACACAAAAUCAAUAAUAUAUGUCUCUCUCUCUCUCUUUUCUCUCUAACUCACUCUCUCGAGGCUACUCUUUCCAUUUAUUGCUUUCAUACUUGUUCUUCAUUUAUUGCUUAAUAUUGGCCAUAAAGAGCCUUCUUUAAUCAUAUCUUAACUGUUAUCCCCUUCUCGGUUACUCCGGAUAGCUCGAGCUCGAGCCAGAUAUUGACCUCGAGCCAGAUAUCGACCUCGAGGCCUUUCAUCAUUCAGUCUGAAGCCCAGGUAGCAAGCCCCUCGGUUUGAUUAUUGCCUAAUUCUAACUUGUAUUUCGUCAUUAAACGUCAUACGCCUAGCAUCAACUGCUCUAGCAACUCGCAUAAAACUAGAUCACGUAUUUUUAGAGUUCCAUUUACAAAUUUAAUUAUUAUUACCAUUUUCACGGAAACAAUGCCACUUUCUGGUCUGCCCUAGUGCGACUUAUUACGGCCUCGGCUCGGGCAUUCACCACCUCAUCCUUCGCCUUCAAAAGCUCGGACUCGAGCCUUGUGAUCAUAUUCGCUCGGACAAAAUAAUUUGCGUGAGCGUUCCGAAUUACCUCGAGGGCAGAAGCCUUAGCCAAAGCAUCCUCCUUAGCCGCAACUUGGGCAUCUACUCGAGACUUUAACUCGUCAAGCUCACAUUCGGCCCGGACAACUUCGCCCCAAAGACGUUCCAUCUCCUCCGUUUUGCUCUCCAACUGAAAUAUCGAAACAUUAAUCUCCGAAAAUGAAUGGGGGCAUACAUCAACCUGAAAUACAGGUUACCUGUCUUUUGAGACGGCUUUCGCAGUUCUGAAUUCUAUCCACCUCACACCGCAGGUAUACCACCUCACCUUCCUUUCUCUCACAAAGGAGCCUAAUGGAUGUCUCCCUAUCCAAAGCUUUCCGCAGCCUGGCCUCAUGGCGAAGAAGCUCGAACUUAAUCAUGUCAAAGGCCUACAAAGGAAAAUUUAAUAAGAAAGGAAGGGCACGAAACCGAUAUAAGCAUAUACCGGCUACCGAAGCUCACCAUAAAGCCAAGCUGAUGAGCCUCACCAAUGUCCAAUGGCCUAGUAUCCCCCAAAGCGCCUUUGGUAGAAAAAGAGGGAGGCUCCGUAUGACUCGCACUCCUUGAAAUACCUUCAACGGGAACGAGAAAUGAUCUUUCAGAAAUAGAGGCCUCCGAAGUCGGAAGAUCGGCUGAAUCGCCUCUUUUGAACCUCAGAAAAGGAUUUGCCCCACCGUGAGCAUCCUCACACCUCGGAGAUUCUUUCUAUUUAUUGUCAACCCUUGACCCCGAGGUCGGAAGUCUUUCCUCCUCCUCCAGGGGGCACGGUCUCAUCUCGGAAAAAUCUCCAACACCUGCGGCGAUAGAAUUAGUGCGCUAAACAGGAAGGUACCUUUCUGAGGAAAUAAGCCACUAAACGCCUACCGUGAUGCUUUGCCUCCCAUCUCCCCCCGGACAGGUCUCGCCACCUGCGCUUAACAUAGGUCGAACAAGCUUCCAUCUUGCGGGACCACUCAGCCAGAUUAGGGAUCUCAUUCGGCAACCAAGGAAUCGCUACAAAGAAUAAGAUAGAAAGACGCCUUUAUGGAGUCCUCCCUCGCUAUGGACAAAGCGAUAAAAAUACAAGUAUGCCACUUAAUUGUGAAAUUCCAUUUCUUAGGAAAUGGUAAGAACUCUCCAAGGAUAAUGUCGACAGUCCGUGCUCGAAGGAACUGGCUCAUCCACCCCCGGUCCUCGUCCUCUUCGUUGUUAAUGGCAGGGGACCGAGUGGAUCGAUGCCGCAGGGUAAUCAAGCCCCGAUAAUACAGCGGCCGAUAUAACCUAACGAGAUGGCUGAGGGUGAAUUCAAGCUCGGCCUUAUCCAAAAAGUACCUUAUCAUCAGUACUAUAUUCCAGAGGGAUGGAUGAACCUGAGCCAAGGUAACCUGAUAUCUCCUACAAAACUCAAGCACGACCCUGUGAAGGGGACCCGAUGUAAAAGGAUAUGUGUACAUGCUCAAAAACCUCUCGACAUGGGUCAUGAUAUUCUCCUCGGGGGAAGGUACCUGUAGUACUACUCCUUCUCCCUAUCCGCAAUCUUUUCUAAUCAUCUCGAGGUGUUCCACCCUUAUUGAGGAGAUGAACCUCGAUACGUGCUCCCUAUGCCCUUGAAUGUUGGAAGGUCUCUCCAACGUAAAGUCUCUCCUAGAGACAAAGCACCUCGAAGCUCACUCACCGGGUACCGGCGGUGUACUACCGACUGGACAUACAACAGAGGUAGAACUCCCCUCUCUUUGACGGGAGGAUGUCGAUGUAGCAUCUAUGGCUACGGUAAAAUAGGAUGAGGAUGAUGAAUGUUUGGGCCAAGGGUUCAAGCCAAAACGACGAAAGAACUAGCACAAAGAACAAAUCUCCAUGGAAGAAAUAGUUACUUUGAAUAGCAGAAUCUCCAUUUGAGAAGUAAGCGAGUGAAUAUAUAAAGGCAGGCAAUGACUGCUCGCUACCCAGAGGACCAAUUAAUUCUGGCCAUGACUGUAGACAUGUGACUUUUGACCCUCCCCGAGAUUUUACAUAUUUUAGCAUAUAAAUAUUUAGUAGAUCUAGUAUCGAUAUUUUAUCUAGUUUUGACCCUUUUACUUUAUUUUAUCACAAAAAUAAAAAUUACAAAAAUAUUUUCUUUUAUUUAGCUAAUUAAUAUUUUAUCUAGUUACUUUUAAUUUAUCUACUUUACAUAAAAUUCAAAAAAUACAAAAAUAGUUCCACUUUAUUUUUAGGAAUAUUAUUUUAAUGAUUUUAAUCUAAUUCCAUUUUUAUCUUUUAGUAUAAUAUUUGAAAAAUACCAAAAAAUAGGUUUGUUUUAAUGGUUAGUAUUAUUUUAAUAGUUAUUUUACUUAAGUAAGAUUGAUUGGUAAAUAAGGUCGUAUUUUUAGUCUUGUUCACAGAGAACCAUUUUUGGACCUAGCCCAUAAUAACUCAAGCCCAAUACCCUUAAAACCCUAGACUUAGACUUAAAAGGACCCCUAACCUAAGGAGAGAACCUAGACCAAUCAGCCAUUUUCUGAUUUUAGACCCUUAAUCAGCCACAAUAGACCUAGAAAACUCUACAGAUCAGCAGCUAGAAGAGAAGAGCUAACACAGAAGAGAGCAAUGGCGGAGCUCUCUUGAAAAGGACCCCCCUAUCAACUCAUCUUCUUCUUCAGAGAAGAAGAGCCAAUUUCCAUGGCUUCUUCUUAACCAAACCAAAGAUCCUUGCUCUCUUCAAACACACAAACAGCUGUUCCCCCUCGUCUUCAAAUUCCUCUCUCUAUCGUUUCACCUCCAUCGCCGGCGAGAUUCACUGGAAACCGGCGAAAACUAACCCCAUAACCAGUCAGUUUGCUAUUCGAUUCUCUGAGCUUCAGAACUAUUUGUUACGCAAAGCUUCAGUUUAUUCUCAUAUCGGAACUCAUGGAGGGGAACUGCUCGAUUUUGUUUUGAAGUCGAGCGUUCCAGUCCAAAGUCAAAGAAUCGAGUCGAGGUGUCCGUUGUAGCCGAGUUCGAAGUACUUUGGUCGAGUUUCAUUGAGAUUCUGGCGAGGCAUUUCGUUUUUCUGUUUGAGGUUCACAUUUGCUCGCCGAUUCGAGAAUAGUUAGAGCUGUAGAGAUCCAAUCGCUUAUCUUGUUUGCUUUAUCGGUGUAGUGUUCCAUAUAAAUGAUAUGUAUUAAUAUGGCUCCUGCUUGGAUCUGUUCUCCUGUUGUUUUAGCCUAAUUUUUCUUAGUUGUUAAUUCUUACCAUUAAGUUUAUUGGUUCUGGUUGUUGAGUGAAAAUAGCCCUACUAAACUGCUGAAAUCUCUAGCUAACUGGUAGCUAAUGCAGUCGUACCUUAGUUCAAGAUAAUUUUGUUAGUAAAUCCUUUUUUGUAUAAGACGUUUUCCUUAAGAAACCCAUUAGAAAGAGGGCAAGUUUAUUGAAGAAUCUUGAUUUAAUUAAUACAAUUUCCUCUUCUACUUUCCUGCACUUGAAAAUGACCGAAGAAUUAAACUUGAAAAAUGAGGAUAAGCGAUGGUCACAGUAAUGCAUUUGGUCUUAAGGUUUGGUAUUGUAAAAUUUGUUUUCCUUUAUCAGAUAUUUCAUCAAGUUUAGUUAGUUCCUAGCUUUAGUUUUAUCAUUUGGUCGAAUUAUUUUCUAAUGUUGGCUUAACUGUUUUAUAAAUUUUUUAUCAAUCCUUCAAUAAUCCUCUUCCUCUAUUGACGUGUAAUCAGUACUAGAUAAAAUGUUCCCAUAACUCUUGGGUCUCUCAAUAAUCUUGGCUUAGGAAAUACAUAACGCAUAAAUCGAUAGUAUGCUUUAGGCACGUAUUAAUAAAUAAUUAUCGUGAUUGUGUACAUGUUCGCGUGACAUAAUUACGAUCUAAAAAAUAAAAUGGGGGUAUGCGUUUCGCGCAACUUCGGCCAAACUUUCUUAAUAUUAAUAAAGCGUUAUUAAUAGUGAACACGUUCACGUGAAAUUUUUUUUUGACGCGCCAAACAAAUGAGUACACGUGCGCGUGACCUAUUUUAAGAUAACAUCUUAAUUAAAAGAGGAAAAUGCACAUAGUUUCUAAAAUGAGUAAUUAGACAAUUUGAUUAAGCCAAGUAUGAUCAAAGCGACCGUGCUAAAACUACGUAAUCCGAGAAUGCCUAACACCUUCUCCCGGGUUAGCAGAAAUCCUUACUCAGAUUUUUGUGUUCGCAGACCAUAAAUAGAGUCAAACUUCCUCGAUUCGUGAUUUUAAACCGGUGACUUGGGACAUCAUAAAUUAUCCCAAAUGACGACUUUGAAUUUUAACUAAAAUAAUCGUGUUUCGAUUGUCACUUUAAUUGGAAAAACUCCCUUAUACCCCCUUCACGUGUAGAAAAAGGAGGUGUAACAGCUCUAGCGACUCUACUGGGGAUAAGAAUCCAGAAUCUCUGGUUCUUGGUUCAGAAUUCGAGCUUGUUAAUAUGAUCUAUGCUUUGCUUUAUUUAUUGUUCAUAUUAUCGUAUUUGUGGACCUAAUGUGCUAACUGCUGCUUAUUUACCGCUUUGAUAGUAUUUGAAUUGUAUUAAACUGUCUUUUUACGCCUCCCACCUGAGUUUUCUAAAAUAUGGUGCACAUGUUCGCGUGACCCACUUUUCUGUUAGAAGUUAUACCAAAUAGAGCGAGGCUAGGCCAGCAAUAAGGUCGGGCAGACUUUUGUGCUCCCGGUACGUUGCCCCCAUCUCGGCUCGAGUUGUCCGCUCGGGUAAGCUAGGUCUAGAACAGACCCCAGGUUAAACCUAGAAUAACAUAGCCUCAUGUCGGAACCAUAGUAGGAAUGUUUGUUUGCAUCACAUGCAUUUGACCUUGGGGACUCAACACAGGGGUUGGGUCCGUCUAGGACAGGUGUACCCAAAUUAAAAGACCAUCCUGAUGCAUCUUACGUGCUACUUGUGUAUCUGUUUUCUUCAGCUUGUAUGUUGACUAGCUAUUAGAAUAGGUAAAGAAAACAAAACAAAAAAAGGAAAAAAAAUUGAAAAAAAUCAAGAGUGAGAGGUAGGUAAUCCGAAGCUUUGCCAAAAUUUUNNNNNNNNNNNNNNNNNNNNNNNNNNNNNNNNNNNNNNNNNNNNNNNNNNNNNNNNNNNNNNNNNNNNNNNNNNNNNNNNNNNNNNNNNNNNNNNNNNNNNNNNNNNNNNNNNNNNNNNNNNNNNNNNNNNNNNNNNNNNNNNNNNNNNNNNNNNNNNNNNNNNNNNNNNNNNNNNNNNNNNNNNNNNNNNNNNNNNNNNNNNNNNNNNNNNNNNNNNNNNNNNNNNNNNNNNNNNNNNNNAUUUUCUUUCUUCUUCAGAAGUCUUUCUUUUAAAAAUUUUUGAAAAAAACAAAUAAAAAAACUAAAAAAUAUUUUCAUUCUUUUUUCAUUGAAAAGAAAUUCAAGAAUCAAAUUUUUUUUUUCUUUAGAAGCAGUUCUUUCAUAAAUUGAAAAUAAAAGUCCAAAAAUCCAAAAAUAUUUCCUUUCUUCUUUAAAAGUUUUUCUUUCGAAAUUCCAAAAAAGAGUUAAAAUUCAAAAAUAUAUAUAUAUUUUCUUUCUAAAAAAAGUUUCAAAAUUCAAAAAGAGAGUCAAUUUAUUUACUUUAUUCCCGAUCUUCCCGAACUACGCAAGAUCUGAUUCAUGUUCCCAUAUGAUACGUAGGCAACCCACAUCAGGUUUGACCACCAUUAAAAAAAUAUGAUAAAAUGAAAAAACAAAAUGAUGAUAAUAAUAAGGGCUGACUGAGAUCAUUCUAACAUGUCUUUUAUUUUGAGUUGUGAAGAAAGUUUGAGGUGGUCGGUUUGUUGUAAGUUGACAACACAAGAUUCAAAGGAAAAAUGUCAUUGACUACUGACAUCGAAGUUGUUGCAAGCAGUUAUGAGACUCAGGGUCAGAGGGUUCAACAAGAGUCUACUGUGGUUGAGGAAAAUAGAAUACUGAAACAAAAAAUGACUGAAAUGUGUCAAGAGUGGGCCAAUGGCCAAGGACCGCCCUUUUCUUCUUAUGGUUUUCCAGAGUUCACACUCAUCUCAACUACUGCCAUUCCAGUCUUAUUGUCUGAUCAAUUCUAUCCACCUGGGUUCAGUCAUUAUCCCAACUGUAUGACUACAGCUGGAACCUCUGUUGUGCGCUCUCAAAGUUUGCCAUUGACAACCAAUCAGAUAACCGCUAUUGUUAUGCAUGUCUUCACCAUUCCACAGCCGACGGUGGUGCAGAGGAAAACUCAUGAGUCACAGUUUGCCACCCAGCAAGAACAGUCCCACUCUCUACUCUCUCGAGUACCACUCAUACCUAUUCGAUCUUCCUGCAAAGAUUGAGAAGCCUGCCCGAAAGAUGGCAUAGGAAGAAAUGACCCAAAGAGUGAAAAGCUUAGAGCAACAGUUGAAAAACAUGCAAGAGUUGGAAGGUCAGAAGAGUAUUGCCUUACAAGAUCUAUGUAUAUUCCCCGAUGUUCGUUUGCCAGUUGGUUUCAAGAUCCCCAAAUUUGAAAAGUAUGAUGGACAUGGAGACCCAAUAGCCCACCUGAAAAGGUUUUGCAAUCAACUAAGAGGUGCAGGAAGAAAUGAAGAAUUGCUAAUAGCUUAUUUUGGGGAAAUCCUUAUGGGAGUAGCAUCCGAAUGGUUUAUGGAUCAAGACACAUCUCGCUGGUACGUCUGGGAUGACAUGGCACAGGCAUUUGUCAAACAGUUCCAAUACAACAUUGACAUUGCCUCAGACCGCAAUUCCCUUUCAAACCUGAAGAAGAAAUCAAGUGAAAGUUUCAGGGAAUAUGCCAUUAAAUGGAGAGAGCAAGCAGCUAGAGUUAAGCCACCCAUAGAUGACCACGAGCUAAUCAUUGUCUUUCUUCAGGCGCAAGAGCCAGAUUACUUUCAAAACAUGAUGUCCGCAGUUGGCAAAUCCUUCUCAGAAGCAAUGAAAAAUGGGAGAAAUUGUAGAGAAUGACCUUAAGACAGGCAAAAUUAUAACUCUAAGUAGCUCUCAAAGCUGCAACUCAGGCUGUCCAAAUUGAAUCUGGUGACACGAAUGAAACGGACGAAGAAAUCAUGAUGACAUCAGGGGCGAGAAGUGGUCCUCGGAGAACAUCUCGAAGAUAUGAACAACCUCGUCUGGCUUUCCAUGAUUUCCCUAAAUACUAUUAUCCACCUCAGAACCUCAAUACUGUGUUACUUCACCUCAGUAUGUUACCGACCACCAAGACAUCCCAGAAGGCGAGCACCAGCACCGCAAAAUCUCCACCAGCCUCCACAAACUUUUCAAGUGCCCUAUAACCCACAUCCAAGCCAGGGGUAUAGAAGGGAACAAAGGUUGAAAGAUAAUUUUACACCAAUAGGAGAGUCCUAUGCAAGCUUAUUUGAGAAGUUAAAGCAUUAUGACAUGAUUGCACCCAUUCCUCCAAAUCAUGUAGACCCACGUGCAAGAAGCUUUGACCCAUAUAAAAGGUGUGAAUACUAUUCCAAUGCCCAGGGGCACAAUGCUAAAAGUUGUCGGGAUUUGAAAAGAGAAAUAGAAAGGAUGAUUCAGGAAAAAACUAAUUGUGAUCCAAGACAAUGACACCUAGAAUAUCACGCAGAAUCUUUUACCUGCACAUGAUGAUGCACACUUUGUGGGAUGAUGUCUGGUGACAUGGAGAAUGAGAAUCCACUCGGGAACUUGCCGACUGAAAUUGGAGAAGGCCAUAGUAAUUCUGAUGAGCAAAUUUGUGGCUAAAUAUCAAGGUUAGCAAUUGAAAAGUCAUUCCCUCCUUACUAGCAAGGAAUCUUGGUGGUUUGUUUUGAUUUUUUUUCUAUUAUCUGGGUUAUUUCAGGGUUGUGAUCCAGAUUUUAUUUGUUUUAUUGAGUCAAAUCCUUCUAUCCCUCCAUUCUGUCUGUGCGAGUCCUGUCCGUUUGCUCUGUUGCUAUUUUCAUCAUCCGGGUUAUUUUAGGAUUCUAACUCGGAUUUUAGGUUGUUUGUCUUGUUAUUUACUCAAUAAAAUGCAGUUUGUCCUUUUGUAUCGUUCCAUGCUUAGUUCUUUUACCGCUAGUUUUAGUGACAUGACAUGCAUGCGGAAUUUUUGGCCAGAUCUUAGAAAAUUGAUUUAAGCUUGUAUUGGAUAACUGAGAAAAAGACACUUUUGAGGAUGAAAAAGAGUUGAAAUACUUUGGAAUUAAGGUCGAGUAGAAUUCACCUUCAAAUCAAUGUGAAGAUCGGGCUUGAGGGUAUUGAAUCAAUUGAAGCUUGGUUGAAAGUUUGACAUUAAUGGAUGGAGAGUAUCUUUCGACCACGACACACCAAGAAGAUAAACAUGUUCAUCAAUGUUGUGAUUGCAGAAGGAUACUAAUUUUGGCGUUCUCGAGGUCGGGAGGCCCUUUUUCUGCUAUCCAAAAAUGUUAUAUCCUUCGUUACCCCUUUUGAGCCUGUGUUAUUUUCUUUGACCACCCUCUUUUGGAAUCUAGUUUAGAGUCAAGAGUCCAAAAAAAAGGAAAAAAGGAAAAAUGAUAAAAAAAGAAAAGAAAAGAAAAGAAAAGUCCAUGUCCCAAGAGUACAAACUGGAGCAAUUCUUAGAAAGUUCAAGAAAAAAAAUGAAAAAGAAAAGAACUGUCAAAGGUCCAUGCCCCUAGAAAAUAGAAGCUGGGGCAACUUGUUUUGAAAACAAAAAUAAAAAAAGAGAUAAAAAAAGAGGAGAGAUACAGAAAAAAAGAUGAUUUUUUUAGUUAGGUCAGAAGUUUGAACUACGUUCGACCUGAUUCCUUAAAAAAAGAUACGUAUGUGUCAUACCUUCUUUUUACCUAUCCCCAGAAGGGUUUAAGGGAGUUUUUUCCAACUUAAAGUGACAAUCGAAACGAGAUUAUUUAUUUAUAAAUUCAGAGUCGCCACUUGGGAUAAUUUAUGGUGUCCCAAGUCACCAGUUUAAAAUCCCGAAUGAGGAAAGAUUGACUCUGUUUUCAGUCCUCGAACACAGAAAUUCGGGUAAGGAAUUUUGUUAAUCCGGGAGAAUGUAUUAGACAUUCCCGGGUUCCGUGGUUUUAGCACGGUCGCUCAACUGUUAUUAUUGGCCUAUUUAUUUAAUUAAUCACAUCUUUUAAACCUACGUGCAUUUUUAAACCUUUUAAGCCGCUUUUAAAAAUCCAAUUAUUAUACAGCUAAUUAUUGAUUAUACAUGGCAAAUCAUGUCACGAGAACCGUACCCACGAUCCACAACAUGUUUAUUUUAAUUAACAAAAAUAUUGUGGUUGGGUCACAUAAAUGUACACCCGGUUUUAUUACAAAUUAAGUGUCAUGACCACGUCACAGGAACCGUACCCGUAGCUAUGACAAUUAUUUAAUUAACGCGCCUAAAGCAAACUACGAAAGUUUAAGGCAUUUUUUUAUACUAGUUUUUGUAUUUAUGUGAGGGCCAUACAUUAUGGAUUUUGUUUGCGUAUGACACACCUCAAUUAUUUUAAAAGAAAAGAAUUAUUUCACUAAGGUAAACUAAAGAUACUCCUACUUUAAUCUAAUUUAAAAUUAUAUAUCACGACCAUGUCACGAGAACCGUACCCGUAGUCAUGAUGAUGAUUUAUUUUCAUGCCUAAAGGUUCGCCUACCCGGAUGUGGUGGCCUAAGUAUGCUCUUAUGACCAAUUAAGAGAAUAAAAGUUAUAAAUUCCAAUGUUCUUUCAUUUAACGACAAAGCUCGUGCCCACAUAUUAUUAAAAGUUUUGCUAAACCAAUACAACCCAUUCAACUGAAGCGAAGCAUCCAAUCCUAGUAGACCAAACGGAAUGAAAUGAUUAUAAGAAAUCAAACCCCGGUUGACCCAGUGUAUUAAUUCAAACGAAUUUCAUCCAAGCAAAUGUAUGGUUUUUGGAAAUUUCAAUAGAGAGAUAGGAACAAAACUUAUUAAAAUUCAAUCCAUUUUAAUCAUAGAAAUUCGCAUCGUCAUAAUCAAACCAACAAGGGAAAGCUAACUACUACAGAUUAAUACACAUAAUUAUGAAGUAUGCAUUCAUUUCACAUUCUAACUUGAAUAAAGACGAGCAACAAAGCACUGUGCUUAAGGCUUUCACAUAUCCUUUUCAUGCUAAAAUCAUAUCAAAAAUAGAAUAAUAGGGAAUUGACAAUGAACCUGGACUGAACUUCUUCUUAGUAACAGUAGAGGAAUGAGCAUAUACAAUGUUUUUCUCCCAAAUUUAAACUGAGAACAACGCAAUCGAGUAGAAACGUGAGCCAAACCACGAACCUCAGACGGAAACUCGAAUCAGUAUCGGAACGAAAUCAAUCGAACCCUGUCGAUUCCAUGGAAGAAACGGGAGUGGCGACGAAAGGGGGGCUGCUAUGGUGGUGGAAGAGCUCGGAGACAGUGAGGCACGGCUGGGUUAUCUGAGGGGGGUUGGUUUCCGGUGAAGCAACGACUGCAGGUGUGGGCUUCGCCGGAGAUGAGGAAAGGGGGGGUCGUUUGGAGAAGACGAAGUCAGAGGGUGGGGUCGUUUAUGGCUGCGGUGGA